CUUUAUUAGUAUAAUUAGUAUAUUUGAUUUCCAAUCAAAAGGGCUUUGUUAAGAAUCAAAGAUGGAGU
rnacentral:tRNA from 12 species